rnacentral:lncRNA from 1 species
AAAAACAAAGAAAGUGAGGCAACAAAAUCAAGAGAAAAUGAGCAAGAGAGAAAAGAAAAAGAGAAGGAAAAAAUAAAGAGAGAAUGAGUGAGAAAAAGAAGAUUCGAGUGAAAGAAAAAAAGGAAAAGAGAAAGUGAAUUUUUUCACUAAGGGGUGAGAGGUUGAAAAAUCUUUUCAGACACGACAAUUGCUACUUGUACUUUU